GUGGGGAAUAUUGGACAAUGGGGGGAACCCUGAUCCAGCCAUGCCGCGUGUGUGAAGAAGGCCUUUUGGUUGUAAAGCACUUUAAGCGAGGAGGAGGCUACUCUAGUUAAUACCUAGAGAUAGUGGACGUUACUCGCAGAAUAAGCACCGGCUAACUCUGUGCCAGCAGCCGCGGUAAUACAGAGGGUGCAAGCGUUAAUCGGAUUUACUGGGCGUAAAGCGCGCGUAGGUGGCCAAUUAAGUCAAAUGUGAAAUCCCCGAGCUUAACUUGGGAAGUGCAUUCGAUACUGGUUGGCUAGAGUAUGGGAGAGGAUGGUAGAAUUCCAGGUGUAGCGGUGAAAUGCGUAGAGAUCUGGAGGAAUACCGAUGGCGAAGGCAGCCAUCUGGCCUAAUACUGACACUGAGGUGCGAAAGCAUGGGGAGCAAACAGGAUUAGAAACCCGUGUAGUCC
rnacentral:rRNA from 1 species